rnacentral:SRP_RNA from 1 species
GUCUGGGUCUUGCGCAAUGGAGUCCUGUGAACCUCGUCAGGUCCGGAAGGAAGCAGCGAUAAGCGGGGUGCUCCAUGUGCCGCGAGGUCGCCUGGGGGCU